UACAACUUUCAACAACGGAUCUCUUGGCUCUCGCAUCGAUGAAGAACGCAGCGAAAUGCGAUAAGUAAUGUGAAUUGCAGAAUUCAGUGAAUCAUCGAAUCUUUGAACGCACCUUGCACUCUUUGGUAUUCCGAAGAGUAUGCUUGUUUGAGUAUCAUUAAAUUCUCAAA
rnacentral:rRNA from 1 species